rnacentral:rRNA from 1 species
UGCCAGACUCCUACGGGAGGCAGCAGUGAGGAAUAUUGGUCAAUGGCCGAGAGGCUGAACCAGCCAAGUCGCGUGAGGGAAGACGGCCCUACGGGUUGUAAACCUCUUUUGUCGGGGAGCAAAGAGAGUCACGUGUGACUCAUUGAGAGUACCCGAAGAAAAAGCAUCGGCUAACUCCGUGCCAGCAGCCGCGGUAAUACGGGGGAUGCGAGCGUUAUCCGGAUUUAUUGGGUUUAAAGGGUGCGUAGGCGGCGCUUCAGGUCAGCGGUGAAAUACCGGGGCUCAACCCCGGGGCUGCCGUUGAAACUGGCUGUCUUGAGAUGUCGAGAGGUAUGCGGAAUGCGCAGUGUAGCGGUGAAAUGCUUAGAUAUUGCGCAGAACUCCGAUUGCGAAGGCAGCAUACCGGCGGCGAUCUGACGCUGAGGCACGAAAGCGUGGGUAUCGAACAGGAUUAGAUACCCGCGUA